AGUUUGAUAUAAAUAUAUUAGGAUGAAUUCGCAUGUAGGCAUGCGUGGUAGAUAGAAGCGUUUCGAGUUGAAAUCAUGGAAUCAUCAUAAAGCAAAGCGUCGUUAAUGACUCAGUGGUUCAUUCUUACAACAGCAAUAGAUGGUGAAGGUGUUUUCGUUGCUAUUUAUUUUAUUGUUAACAUAAAAUUUUAGAGAUCUCAUCUGGAAUAAUAAUACAAACAGUAAAAAUUGAAAAGUAAACGUUAAAUUAAUAAAAAUUAACACGAUGAAUACUACAGAUUCAGAGAAUAAUCUAAGAUCUAGACAAAUGAGAAUAAAUAACGAAUAUACACUAUUAAAUGAAAAGAUCCUACAAAUGAAAAGCGAACAAAGAAGGAAUCUACGGGAGAAAUAUCAGUUUUCGGUCGAUAUCCACGAUUCCGAAGAUCAAAAAUUGAAAAUUAGAUCAAUCAAACAGUUAGAGGAAAUAAUAUCAACGUUCAGUGGUGACGAUAACACAGAUAUUAUUCACUGGAUAUAUAAAUACGAAGUAAUUGCAGAUGCAUGCUGUUGGUCCGAUCUUCAGAAAGUAGUGUACUGUAAACGAAUGUUAAGAGGAUCAGCGAGAAAAUAUAUUCGAUUACUAAAAUGUUGUUUUUCGUGGAAACAACUGAAAUCUUGUUUACAAGAUGAAUUUUAUUCAUUACCUGAGGAUUACACGAGACCAAUACAAUAUCAGUUUCAAAUAAAUGAAUUUAGUAGAGAAGUCGAAGAUCCUUGGAUAGGAAGAACCAAAAGGUCGUCGGCGUUAGAACGAUUUUUCCAGAAAAAAAGUAACAAUUCAGAUAAUAAAUUCACCCUCGAUAAUACUACUACACUUAAACAAUUAAAAGAAGAUAUUGCGUAUUAUGAUAGCAUAAAUAUGAUGAAUAGCUUAAAAUUGCAAGAUUCACGUCGGACAAAAUAGUUAGCGCAUGCAUCGGAAUUGAAUGACAUGAUAUAAUUGACGAAUCGCCCAUAUAGAUUUGGCGACUUAUUCAUCGAAAAUAAAGCAUUUCACAUACAAGUUUGGAUUUAUAUCAGACAAAUGUCCGAGGAGCACUAUACCUAAGAUUUAGUAUUAUGAAAGUUGUUUAUAAGAACCAUAACUCCACAUUAGUGUUUAAGUACACUUACAAAAAAAACAUUUUAGAAAUACAUUGAAAUAUGCAGCUCUGUAGUAGUUGCGUUACGUAAUUUACAAUUAGAUUUUGAUAGAUCACAAGCAAUACCGAGCCAGAUUUUGGAGAUUGCAGCAGCAUGUGCUAUAUAUUUGUAUCAUUACUAAUAUAGAAAGCAUAACUAUACAUAAAUCUAUAAAACAAUUAAAGCUAUAAAUUAGAAGCAGAUAUUUUUAUUAAAUUAAACAUUUUAUUAAUAAAUAUCUUCAAAAUCUUUGGUACAUCCCACAAAUAUUUGUAACUAUAUUUUUUAUAAAACGGUAAACAAUAAUAUUUAAUAUUUUGUCUUUAUAUGUGUGCCUUCGGAAAUGCAUAUACACGUAUAUUUCAAAAAAAACAAUUUUAGACACUCUAAUAUACGAAAAUCAAAAAGGGUUAACAUGUAAUUUAACGAUAAUUAUUUGUAACAAUAAAUAGAUACAUCAGUUAUGUAA
rnacentral:lncRNA from 1 species